rnacentral:lncRNA from 1 species
GAACCAGCCAGCUCUCCUCCUCAGAGGUGAAGCCUGUGAGGGCCAUGCCAUAUACACCAGCUGCAGUUUAGAGGAGGACUUUCAUUUCAGCUUCUGGAGGAGUGGAGGAAGGUUCCCAUAUCUGCUGGAUGACUGAGGGACACAGCAGCGGACGCUGACAUGGACUGCGAGGAGGUCAAAGGUGAAAGCCCGGCGGACGAGCAGUUGGAGCCCCUGCUUAUUUUGGAGGAGGGGGACGAGCCGGAGGAGUUCACAAACAAGACGGCCAGAGGGAAAGGAACACUGAGGGUGAAGAACGCAGAGGAACACGAGGAUGAAGUCGCUGGUGCUAAAGUGGGAGAAGGUGAGCAUGAGGACAUAGAGGUCAACGAGGAGAUUGUGGUGAAGCUGGAAGAUCAGGAAAAUAAGGAGGCACUACUGGAAAACCAAGCCAAAGCCGAAGUGGUUGAACAAGUGGCGGGAAAAGAGGAACGCUUGUCGGAAGGGACACUGGAGGCUGCUGAGGAGGUCAACGUCCAAGCUGGAGGGGGACUGGUGAAUGUGGACAAGGCUGAAGAGGGAGAAAUGGAGGAGCAACACGAGAAGACCACUACUACUGACGUAGUUGCAGCAGAGAAGCUUCAAGUUAGUCCAGAGAUCCAAUCACAGGCUAAGUUACGGCCCAAAGACCUCCUGAGGCCUGAAGAUGCUCUGCAAAAGGUCCACCGGCUGUCCCAUGAUUUCCCCGAUACUCUGUACGAGCUGCUGUGUACCCUGCAGGAGGGCCGGAGGCUCAACGACCAGCGCUGCUCCUUCAGACUGGAGGGGCGGAGGAGGUGUUACUCGGAGCCCAGCACCCCCCGACACAGUCAGAAAGGUAAGGUGCCAGCUGUUUACCAGUACCCAUCCCAUUACCCAGCCCAGUACCUGUAGCAGUGUAGC